rnacentral:lncRNA from 10 species
GAUCUGAGUUUCUUCUUUGAUGGUGAAUAACAACACAUUCCUUUUAGAGUUUUGUUUGGAUGACAUUAGAAAGCAGUGCUAAAGUGACUGGCGCACUCACUAGCCUUUAAUAGGGGCUCAAUCCCUUUCUAUCCUAAAUUUAUCCCAAAUCCAGACUACAUUCUCCCCACUCAGUCACUUCUUAACCCACUGCGGUUUGGAUUUUGCCCUUAGCCACCCCGGGAACUGUUCUGCAGAUAAUAACACAUAUUUCAAGAGUAGUUGUGAGGAUUAAAUGAGAUCAUGUGUUUGAUCUUUGCUUGGCAUAAAGAACAUAAUAGCUUUUGUGAUUAAUAAUGAAGAUCUAAUUGCAAAAUUCAAUAGGCCCUGGAAACUCUCUCUUUGAUUUUUUCCCUGUGAACUAUUGGUUGUUUUUCCAUUCCUUUCUGCCCUUUCUCAGUUCUGUCAGCUGCCUCCUCUUUCUAGGCCUGCCUCAAGCGUUCCUGACAUCUUUACUCUGCCCUUGGAAAAUGCCAAAUCCAGAAGAAAAUUCUUUUUCAGUUCUUCUGCUUUGGUGGUCACCUCUGGCCUUUAAAUAUAUAGUUCUGGGUCCCCCUCAGCUCCAGUCCUCCUUGCCAAAGAAGUUCAUCCUCUUCCCCUUUGAAACCAUCUUUGAGACUUCCCUCCCUUUAGCUACAGUGCAUAUUUCUGUCACAACAUUUGCCACUCUGUACUCCACAUGAUUCUUCAUUCAUAGAUACUGAAGACUGACAGCAUGUCUACAAUGGCUCCCUUCCCUUUGCUGCACCUCCAAUCUGUUAUUUAAGCCAUAAGCAUAAAAUAAGAGUGCCAUCUCACAGGGUUGUAGUAAAGAAUAAUUGGAUAGUCCAUUUCAAGAGAUUAGCAGAGUGCCUAGCACAUAGCAAAUGCUUAAAAAGAGUCGGCUGAGACCUAAGAGAAUCGCUUGUCUGUUUUUGUCUAAGGCAGAGAUCAAGGCAUACCCAUCUUUAUAUUUUAAUGACCAGCCAUGUCAUUCAGAAUAAUCAUAGUAACAGGGGAUGAUGAGCAAGUAGAAUAAUCCCUAACAGAGAUUCCCAGCUGUAAUUCCAGACUAGAACAGAAUAUGGAUAUGGGAGCCAGCAAACCAGAGAACACUAGUAGCAACCAAAUUUUGGACUUAUAAUAACUCAUUUGCAACUAACAUACAUCCAGGAAGAGGGAGCAAUGGAUGAAAUGGAUGAAGCCAGCAGCAGCAUGUCCAGCAAUGACAAAUAAAUGGCACCCCUCCCAGACUCUUGGAAUGACUUCUUGGGAAAUUGAAUUGAAAGCAAAUUAAAUGGGAAAAAAACAAUUCCCUCAUCAGCACACCUGGAGAUGCCAUCUUGUGAUAUUCAAGACAGUAGCACAGUGUUUCUUUUAUCAAAGGCUGCAGAAUCCCAGCUCUGGAUGGAUUAAAUUGUUUCAGAAUGCUGGCAUCUUGAGAUGCCUUCACUCAAAUGGUUUAAAUCAUAGGAUUCAUAUUUCUGGCUGAGCAUCUGGUUUCCUUGAUGUAUGGAGGAUUUGCAGCUUUUCAGGAGGAACUGAAUUGAACAUAUUGGUAGUAUACGUGCCUUGUAUUUGAUCUCUCUGUUGUGUUGCAUUAAUUAAGAGUUGUUUUAAUUUUUAAAUAAUAGGUCUUUCCUAUUUUAUGUUAGAGGUUGUGACUGUUAUAGCCAACUACUGAAUCAGAGGAUACUUAUCAAUCUUUUUUCCCAAACACAAGGAGAGUUAAAGGAAAGCAUUUCUAAAACAGAAAACAACAGCAGA